AUGUGGAGGUUGCCGAGCGGUGGUGCUCGCGUGAAGGAGGAAUAUGAUGAUGCCUGGAGUGGCGUGGGGUACCAACCAUCUCCAUCGAGUGGCAGUUCUCGCGUGAAGGAUGAGUUCGUUAGCACUCUCUCGGCUGUGGAUGCACGUUCAACUGGCCAGUCAAGGAGCUCCAACAAGCAGGACACCCAGCGAGUGUUUAGGAUCCCACACACGGCAGCUCUUGGCAUGCUACUGGCACACCUUGGACUAUCACCGGCUCAGUAUGAACGCGUUGUUCAUGAGGACGGCAAGACCCAUGUUGUAAAUUGUCUGUAA
rnacentral:rRNA from 1 species